GAUGAAGAACGUAGCGAAAUGCGAUAAGUAAUGUGAAUUGCGGAAUUCAGUGAAUCAUCGAAUCUUUGAACGCACAUUGCGCCCGCCAGUAUUCUGGCGGGCAUGCCUGUCUGAGCGUCAUUUCAACCCUCAUGCCCCUAGGGCGUGGUGUUGGGGAUCGGCCAAAGCCCGCGAGGGACGGCCGGCCCCUAAAUCUAGUGGCGGACCCGUCGUGGCCUCCUCUGCGAAGUAGUGAUAUUCCGCAUCGGAGAGCGACGAGCCCCUGCCGUUAAACCCCCAACUUUCCAAGGUUGACCUCAGAUCAGGUAGGAAUACCCGCUGAACUUAAGCAUAUCAAUAAGCGGAGGA
rnacentral:misc_RNA from 1 species